CCUACGGGAGGCAGCAGUGAGGAAUAUUGGUCAAUGGGCGCGAGCCUGAACCAGCGAAGUAGCGUGAAGGAUGACUGCCCUACGGGUGGUAAACUUCUUUUAUAAAGGAAUAAAGUGAGGCACGUGUGCCUUUUUGUAUGUCCUUUAUGAAUAAGGCUCGGCUAACUCGGUGCCAGCAGACGCGGUAAUACGGAGGAUCCGAGCGUUAUCCGGAUUUAUUGGGUUUCAAGGGAGCGUAGAUGGGUUGUUAAGUCAGUUGUGAAAGUUUGCGGCCCAACCGUAAAAUUGCAAUUGAUACUGUCAGCCUUGAGUACAGUUGAGGUAGGCGGAAUUCGUGGUGUAGCGGUGAAAUGCUUAGAUAUCACGAAGAACUCCGAUUGCGAAGGCAGCUUACUAAACUGCCACUGACAUUGAGGCUCGAAAGUGUGGGUAUCAAACAGGAUUAGAUACCCGAGUAGUC
rnacentral:rRNA from 1 species